CCGAGUGAAGGGCCCCCGGGUCCGAUCUCCCACCCUUUGUGAUUAAACCUCUGUUGCCUCGGGGGUGACCCGCGCGUCUCCGGCGCCGGGGCCCCCGGUGGACCAACCCACAACACUGCAUCUUUGCGUCGGAUAUCAAUGAAAAUGAAUAA
rnacentral:misc_RNA from 1 species